rnacentral:lncRNA from 1 species
AUGGAACGGGGGUGUCGACCCCCUCGCCCUGCCCCCAGGCCGCCGCCGCCGUCGCCGCCGCCACCCCCCAACCCCCCGGGACAAAGACCGAAUGACCAUCCUCAGCUGUUACUGUGUACAGGAAGACCUGGACCUGAAGGCAGGAUGCCGUAUUUCACGGGCCAACGGCAGCGGGGCUGCACGGCUGAACCGGUGUCACCAGAUGGUACCGGGCUCAAAUCCCAGUACGAGCACCGUCCUUUUACCCUGGAGGGGCACCAGAGUGGAGUUGGUUCAAGAAACGGCGAGAUGUAUAAAUGGGUAAAAUAUUGCAUGAAGUCAAAAGUUACAUUUGCAAAUAAUAGACUAAAUGUAGAAGCAGAGGCGUCCAGCAAUGAGCCUUUACCAGCCAGAAGAUCCCUCUCUUCACCAGGAUCCCCCCCCAGAAGCAGGAGGACACGAUUUUCACAAUUUGUUCUCUAACCAGACAGAGCAACCUUGGUGUUAAUGUCACUCUUCUAUACAGGGAGGUCCAGUGCAGUUUUUUAAAAAUAGUAUUUCUCCUAGCUGAUGUUUUACUCUGUGCCAGUUUUUUUUUUUUUUUUUUUUUCAAGUUUACAUCUGCUAGCAACAUAGAAAAUACAUUAAAAGUAAAAAAAAAAAAAAAAAAAAAAAAAAAGUAUAACAUUUAUAUUAAAAAACUAUCAACUUGGCUCCCUAAUUUUAUGGUUAAUUUAUUAUAUGGUACCAAAAUAUGCAUUUAUACAUUCAUUGCUAUCAAUUACUGAAUGUGAGCACUUGCACCAAUUCUCUUUGGCGCCGAGGUACUGUACACAUUAAUGUCUUUAAGCCUUUUGAAUCGCAUUUCGUGUAAUUCGCAGCUGCUAAUGAAACGAGUAAGAGUAAGGAGGGCUCUUUGUGAUGUAAUUUUGAUGUUUUCUAGAGGCGGGUUUUAUACUAUGUAAAGCUGCUUACCAGAAAUAAGAGAAAACAGCAAAUACUGCCACUUGCGGGUGAUGGCCUACUUGGAGUACACUGCCAAUGUACUUGUUUUUCUUUCUGUAAACGAAAUAGCUUUAACGUAAAACGUGAGAAAUAACCUAGACGGUGGCUUUGGAGUAUGAAGCGUGGUACCUGGGCUAGAAAAAGAGUUUAAAGUGUUUAAGAGGCCGCAGCGACACUGGAGGAGCUUCGUGGAGGACACCUUUAAGAGCGUCAUGGAUGAGACUUCCAACGAAUGGUGCCAUUAUGUGAGCGAAACCACUCGGCAUCUAACAAACGCAAUGGACGAUACUUGUGUGGAUUACCUUCUUGAACUGCCAUUCUGACCUGGACGAUGAUGGAACUGCUUGCUAGAGGGGAGCCGAAAGUCAAAACGUUGGCCGAGGACGACAAAAAGGGGAAGAAAGGAGGGAAAGAUGAAGGUGGACGUCUUCAGCUGCGGACGUUCCACCGUGCGGCUCAAGACGCGAGAGCUACGUAC